CGAGACGCUUCAGCUUGCUGAAGUUAGUAAAGUGGCGCACGGGUGAGUAUCGCGUGGGUAAUCUACCUCUGAAUUGGGGAUAACAUUGCGAAAGCGAUGCUAAUACCGAAUAACAUCUUAAAUACUUCGGUAUUUAAGAUCAAAAGUGGCCUCUACAUGUAAGCUACUGUUUGGAGAUGAGCCCGCGUACCAUUAGCUUGUUGGUAGGGUAACGGCCUACCAAAGCGACGACGGUUAGCUGGUCUGAGAGGAUGAUCAGCCACACUGGAACUGACACACGGUCCAGACUCCUACGGGAGGCAGCAGUGAGGAAUUUUGCGCAAUGGGGGAAACCCUGACGCAGCAACGCCGCGUGAGUGAUGAAGGCUUUCGGGUCGUAAAGCUCUGUCAAGUGGGAAGAAACUGCCCCGUGCUAAUAUCACGGGACACUGACGGUACCGCUGAAGGAAGCACCGGCUAACUCCGUGCCAGCAGCCGCGGUAAUACGGGGGGUGCGAGCGUUAUUCGGAAUCAUUGGGCGUAAAGGGCGCGUAGGCGGUCUCUUAAGUCAGGUGUGAAAGCCUUCCGCUUAACGGAAGAAGUGCACUUGAAACUAAGGGACUUGAGUAUGGGAGAGGGAAGUGGAAUUCCUGGUGUAGCGGUGAAAUGCGUAGAUAUCAGGAGGAACACCGGUGGCGAAGGCGACUUCCUGGACCAAAUACUGAUGCUGAGGCGCGAAGGCGUGGGGAGCAAACAGGAUUAGAUACCCUGGUAGUCCACGCAGUAAACGGUGAACACUAGUGUAGUGGGUAUUGACCCCU
rnacentral:rRNA from 1 species